GGGGGAUAUUGCACAAUGGGGGAAACCCUGAUGCAGCGACGCCGCGUGGAGGAAGAAGGUCUUCGGAUUGUAAACUCCUGUUGUUGGGGAAGAUAAUGACGGUACCCAACAAGGAAGUGACGGCUAACUACGUGCCAGCAGCCGCGGUAAUA
rnacentral:rRNA from 1 species